AUAUUUCUUAUAUGAAAUUAAAUUGCUUACUUAUGGAAGAGAUAUCACAUUGUUACAGGUCCACCUGGUGCUAAUUUGUUUAUUUACCACAUUCCUCAUAACUUUCUUUAUAUCCAUGUUCCUCUCUGUAAACUUACACUUUCAAGAUUUUUUUUUUUCUAUUAAUGUUCCUCUCAUUGGCAGACAAUGAAAGUUCUAUUCGGAUGAGACAAGUCCUAUAAGUCUUAUGGAUGAUACUAUGGAUGAGCAUGCGUAAACCAAUAUUCCUGGCAAUCCAGUUCAUGUAAUGCACAAGCUGGUGGAAGAAGAUUUAUUUUUCGGAUCCAGGUGCCCGAACAUCAGAGUGAGAGCUUCGAGCACUCUCAGAGUCGUAUCCGGAGAUCGCAAGGUAGCUAUACGGCGUUCGCAGCCCUGCCUUCCUCCUUCCUAUUUUAGUAUUUUAUUAUUUCAGACUAUUUUGUAUUAUUCAGACAGUGUGUUGGUUGUACUUAGAGGCUCAUGACUAGUGACAUCGAAUUCGGGUUGUGUUAGUAUAUUUUGUACUGGU